UCCCACAAAUCUUUUCUCUGUCUCCACCUAUACACAUAUAUCUCUCUGCAUUGUGUUCUGUUUUCAUGGGAGGCGUUGUGGUUUCCUGCAGAUUGCUCUGCUAAUUUAUGCAGUUCAAAUGUAGAGCUCACAUCCUGCAACCGAACCUCCAAAAAAGAAGUCAGGGAGUCAUCAGCCCUGGCUUAAAGACAACACCCUCAACGUCCAAAAUGGCAGGCAACUGCAGCAAAAGCCAUACAGUGAUUUUUGAGAAACUAUGUGGCUCGUUUGAGCUGUGGGUGCUCGUCGCCGUGGUUACUUCAUUGCUGGUUUUGUCCCUCUGUUGGAACAUCCUUUGCUGUGUUGGAAAUCGAUGCGCAGACAAGGGGAAGGUGUUUCUGCCACUCUUCAGGAGGAGUAUCAGCUUGAAAAGGCGAGAGAUGGAGGACAACCCAAUUUAUGGCAACAUCACCUACACUCAGAGUACAGAACUUGUGAGACAUCCUACCAUCCCACAUGAUCCUAAACGGGCAAAGAGCACUGUAAAGAAACUCUCCAAUGCCAGAGACUGCUAUGCCAACCUCACACUGAAGGUGCCCAAACCAGAAUCAGGCCGUGGGUCCCCUGUGGCACAGAUUCAGUACUCGGAUGUAGUGAGUGUGCCAAGAGAACAGGAUGUGGACACCACAACGGACAUCGCAGACAACACCUCCCUGCUGUCUGACCUCUAUGCAUCAGUGGACAAUAAACUAAAGACCACAGCACUUGACUCCACUGAAGACUAUGCCAAUCAUUUCUGACAGUCUAGAUGUAUGCCGUGAAAGGAAAUAAGGCCUCUUAAUUGCAGCCAGUGAUUAGUAACCAUGUACACAUUUUCAAAUGCUGUUUUCUGUGGGAGGUGGACCCACAUCCUUGGACUGAUGAAUGAGACUCAAAUGGAAUCACGUCCAUGAAGCCACAAGAGGCCACUGCUGAGGCGCUUUUAUAAUCCCAGAGAAGGAUGGAUACCCCCCAAAAACUCAAAUGAACCUGCAUAUUUCAAUUUUAAAUGCAAUCACUGUUUGAAUUUCAAAAAGAAUUCUUCUUUACUCAAAUCGUCCAGAGAGUUGUACUUUUAUUUUAUGAUGGCCUUUUAGAGUAAAGUUAUUUUACAGUAAAGCAAAUGGAAAAUGUGAACUAUAUAUAUUUAAAAAUGACUUUGUAAAAGAUUUGUAUCAGC
rnacentral:lncRNA from 1 species